UACGGGGGGGGCAAGCGUUGUUCGGAAUUACUGGGCGUAAAGGGCGCGUAGGCGGCCAUCUAAGUCAGACGUGAAAUCCCUCGGCUCAACCGAGGAACUGCGUCUGAUACUGGAAGGCUUGAAUCCGGGAGAGGGAUGUGGAAUUCCAGGUGUAGCGGCGAAAUGCGUAGAUAUCUGGAGGAACACCGGUGGCGAAGGCGGCAUCCUGGACCAAUACUGACACUGAGGAGCGAAAGCCAGGGGAGCAAACGGG
rnacentral:rRNA from 1 species